AUUAAUUUGUAUUUUUAAAAUGAAAUUUUGGUUUAUAAAAAUUUUGUGUUGUUUUAAUUUUUUGUAUAAAAUUUUUUAAAAUUUAAACUGUAAAGGGGGGUUAUAGUUUAAUUUUAUUAAUUUAUUAAGAAGAAAAUUUUUUUAUUGUACCUUUUGUGUCAGGGUUGAUUAAUUUUAUUCAUUUAUAUUGAUUUUCCCGAAAAUAAAAGAUCUUAAUUUAUUUAUUUAUUAUUGUGACACAAAUAUUAAAAAAUUAAAUUAUGUUUUGAAAAGAAAAUCGGUUUUGUUGAUAUCUGGUUAUUUUGUAAAUAAAUUUAAUUUAGGUGAAUUUAGUUUUGUUAAUAGUUUAUUUUUAUAAAAAAAUUUUAUUCACUAUUUUAAAUUGGGUUAAUCUAAUUUAAUUUUUAUAAAUUGGUUCAUUAAUGAAAUUGUAGGAUUAAAAUUUUUUUUCUAUAUAAGUUUGUUUAAAAUUAUUCUUUAAUUAAUUUAAUAUUUAAAAUUUUACAAAAUUAAAAAAUUUAUUUAAAUUAUUUUUUAACAAUGAUUGAAUAAGUAAUUUUAAAUCUUGAUUUUAUGAAUUCGGCAAAAUUUAUUUCUGUCUGUUUAACAAAAACAUUUCUUUUAGAAUUUUAUUAAAAGUAGGUCCUGCUCAAUGAUAAUUUUUAAAUAGCUGCAGUAUUUUAACUGUACAAAGGUAGCAUAAUAAUUAGUCUUUUAAUUGAGGUCUUGAAUGAACGGUCUGACAAGAAAAAAACUUUAUUAGGUUAAUUUUAUAAAUUUUAUUUUUUAGUUAAAAAGCUAAAAUAUUUAAUUGGGACGAUAAGACCCUAUAGAUCUUAAAAUUUUUUUUUAAAAAAUUAUUUUAGUUAAUUAAAUUUUUUUGAGUAAAAAUUUUUCGUUGGGGUGAUGUGUAAAAUUUUAUAACUUUUUAAAUUUAAUACAUAAAUUGAUGGUUUAAAUUGAACCUAAAUUUAGGUUUGUUAAAAUAAGAUACCUUAGGGAUAACAGCACAAUAAAUUUGUAUAGUUCACAUAGAUAAAUUUGUUUGUGACCUCGAUGUUGAAUUAAUUUAAAGUUUUGGGGCAGAAAAUAAAAUUUUAGGUCUGUUCGACCUUUAAAAUAUUACAUGAUUUGAGUUCAAACCGGCGUGAGCCAGGUUGGUUUCUAUCUAUUUAAGCUUAUACUUGAUUAGUACGAAAGGACUUUUAAGUUAGGAAAAUUUUCU
rnacentral:rRNA from 1 species